CCUACGCGAGGCAGCAGUGAGGAAUAUUGGUCAAUGGCCGGAAGGCUGAACCAGCCAAGCCGCGUGAAGGACGAAGGUGCCAAGCAUUGUAAACUUCUUUUGUCAAGGGACAAAAUCAGGCUCGAGAGCCUGACCGAGGGUACUUGAAGAAAAAGCAUCGGCUAACUCAGUGCCAGCAGCCGCGGUAAUACGGAGGAUGCGAGCGUUAUCCGGUUUUAUGGGGUUUAAUGGGGGCGUAGGCGGGCUGUUAAGUCAGAGGUAAAAGCCCGGGGCGAAACCCCGGCGAGCCGUUGAAACUGGGUGUCUUGAGAUGUCGAGAGGUAUGCGGAAUGCGCGGUGUAGCGGUGAAAUGCGUAGAUAUUGCGAAGAACUCCGAUUGCGAAGGCAGCAUACCGGCGGCGUUCUGACGCUGAGGCACGAAAGCGUGGGUAUCGAACAGGAUUAGAUACCCUAGUAGUC
rnacentral:rRNA from 1 species